CGCAUCUGUGCAUGCAGCAUAUCAAUAAGCGGAGGAAAAGAAACUAACAAGGAUUCCCCUAGUAACGGCGAGUGAAGCGGGAAGAGCUCAAAUUUGAAAUCUUAAAGGGUUUCCCUUUACGAAUUGUAGUUUAAAGAAGUGUUUUCUGUUGAGGUUUUGGUAAAAGUUCUUUGGAAUAGGACAUCAUAGAGGGUGAGAAUCCCGUAUUUGACCUUUACUUUCAACUUUGUGAUACACUUUCGAAGAGUCGGAUUGUUUGGGAAUGCAGUCCAAAAUGGGUGGUAAAUUUCAUCUAAAGCUAAAUAUUGGCGAGAGACCGAUAGCGAACAAGUACCGUGAGGGAAAGAUGAAAAGAACUUUGAAAAGAGAGUUAAACAGUACGUGAAAUUGUCAAAAGGGAAGCGUUUGACACCAGUGUUGUUUUUCUGAAAAUCAAUUAAAGAACUGUUUAUGCUAAGCUGUUUAGACUUUAUCAGCUAACUGUUUAGUUUUGAGCUUUUCUUUAAUGCACUUUUCAGUUAACAAGUCAACAUCAAUUUCUUUUGCUGUAAAAAAGCUUGAGGAAGGUGGCUUGAGAUUCGUCUUAAGUGUUUAUAGCCUCUUGCCUAUGCAGUCGGAGAGAUUGAGGUCUGCAGCGUAGAUCCUUCGGGGCUAAAUGCAUUUGUGCUAAGUUAUAGCAUUUUAUAGACAACUUGUUGACUAUGAUUUGUCUUGUAGCUUACUCGCUUAUGUUAUUUUACCUACGCUUAGGAUGUUGAAUCUGUGCGAGACUAC
rnacentral:rRNA from 1 species